AGCGAACGCUGGCGGCAGGCUUAACACAUGCAAGUCGAACGCACUCUUCGGAGUGGGUGGCAGACGGGUGAGUAACACGUGGGAACGUGCCCUUCAGUUCGGAAUAACCCAGGGAAACUUGGGCUAAUACCGGAUACGCCCUUCGGGGGAAAGAUUUAUCGCUGAAGGAUCGGCCCGCGUCUGAUUAGCUAGUUGGUGGGGUAAUGGCCUACCAAGGCGACGAACAGUAGCUGGUCUGAGGGGAUGAUCAGCCAAAAGGGGACUGAGACACGGCCCAGACUCCUACGGGAGGCAGCAGUGGGGAAUAUUGGACAAUGGGCGAAAGCCUGAUCCAGCCAUGCCGCGUGAGUGAUGAAGGCCUUAGGGUUGUAAAGCUCUUUUAUCCGGGAAGAUAAUGACUGUACCGGAAGAAUAAGCCCCGGCUAACUUCGUGCCAGCAGCCGCAGUAACAC
rnacentral:rRNA from 1 species